AGAGUUUGAUCCUGGCUCAGAAUGAACGCUGGCGGCGUGCUUAACACAUGCAAGUCGAACGAGGCGGAAGGGGGCAACUCCUUCCAGUCGAGUGGCGGACGGGUGAGUAACACGUGGGUAACCUGCCCGGAAGUGUGGAAUACCUCGGGGAAACUCGAGCUAAUACCGCAUGACAUCUUCGGGACGAAAGUCCUGACGAUCAAAGCGGGGUCGCAAGAUCUCGCGCUACCGGAUGGGCCCGCGCCCGAUUAGCUAGUUGGUGGGGUAACGGCUCACCAAGGCUUCGAUCGGUAACCGGCCUGAGAGGGCGAUCGGUCACACCGGAACUGAGACACGGUCCGGACUCCUACGGGAGGCAGCAGUGGGGAAUCUUGCGCAAUGGGCGAAAGCCUGACGCAGCAACGCCGCGUGGAGGAUGAAGGCCCUUGGGUUGUAAACUCCUGUCGGCUGGGAAGAAAUCGUUCGUGGCUCAUACCCACGGACGUUGACUGUACCAGCAAGGGAAGCCCCGGCUAACUCUGUGCCAGCAGCCGCGGUAAUACAGAGGGGGCUAGCGUUAUUCGGAAUUAUUGGGCGUAAAGGGCGCGUAGGCGGCCAUGCGUGUCUUCCGUGAAAUCCCUCGGCUUAACUGAGGACGUGCGGAAGAAACUGCAAGGCUCGAGUCCGGGAGAGGGGGGUGGAAUUCCCAGUGUAGCGGUGAAAUGCGUAGAUAUUGGGAGGAACACCGGUGGCGAAGGCGGCCCCCUGGACCGGUACUGACGCUGAGGCGCGAAAGCGUGGGUAGCAAACGGGAUUAGAUACCCCGGUAGUCCACGCCGUAAACGAUGGGCACUUGGUGUCGCGGGUAUCGACCCCUGCGGUGCCGAAGCUAACGCAUUAAGUGCCCCGCCUGGGGAGUACGGUCGCAAGGCUGAAACUCAAAGGAAUUGACGG
rnacentral:rRNA from 1 species